rnacentral:tRNA from 1 species
ACCUGGGUGGCUCAGUUGGUUGAGCAUCUGACUUCAGCUCAGGUCGUGAUCUCAGGGCCCAUGGGUUCGAGCCCCACGUCAGGGUU